rnacentral:rRNA from 1 species
GAGUGACUGCCGGUGACAAACCGGAGGAAGGUGGGGAUGACGUCAAAUCAUCAUGCCCCUUAUGACCUGGGCUACACACGUACUACAAUGGCCGGUACAACGGGAAGCGAAGCCGCGAGGUAGAGCCAAUCCCAGCAAAGCCGGUCUCAGUUCGGAUUGCAGGCUGCAACUCGCCUGCAUGAAGUCGGAAUUGCUAGUAAUCGCGGAUCAGCAUGCCGCGGUGAAUACGUUCCCGGGUCUUGU